rnacentral:lncRNA from 1 species
AAAACAGAGCUGUGGGGGUCUCAGCUUCCCCCACUGCACAGCAGCUCCCGAGCUGCAGGGAGAACGGGAGUGCACGGGCACCAAACUGCGCCUCUUGGGGGUGCUGCAGCGGAUUUUCUAACAAAUAUUUUCCUCUCCUUUAUUCUAGGAUCUGGAAGAACUGUGCCUCACCUCUGUCUCCCUGCCUCUGUCUGCUCCCUCUACUCCCCAGGCCUUGCUGUCAGCACCUGCAACAGAGCUGUCCCUGCUGUGGUCUGGGGAAAGUUCCAGCCAGGCCCUCUGUGGCACAUCUAUCCCUGGGGUGGGGCAUCCAGGGUAUUAAAUCUACAAAAAUGCAUCCAUUUCACCUCCAAGUCAGCUCUGUGCACACCAAGCCAUGUGCAGGAUAGGCUACCCUAGAGAGCCUGGGUACCCACGCAGCCUUCCACGAAGCCCCACCUACGUGGCUGCUGCAGGUUCUCAUCCUCCUGUGCUCACCGGGAAGGCUGGCAGAUCCACACCGGAAACCAUGGGCUGGGGAGAAGCAGGGCCUUGGUGCUAGAGAGACCUGCCCAAGCAUUCUUCUGCAAGCCCCGAGACAGAGGAGUGAGCAAGCCUCAGGGGCGUGACAGGUGCUCAGGAGAGAGCAGGACACAUGCAGAACCUGGAGAGAGCCAGAGAGGGACCUGCCACAGAGAAGCCCAUCGCCUGCCAGCACUGACGUGGACGUUGGGACAAGGUCAACCCCCAGCCCCGGGCUCCUCCCGCUGCUCUCAGCCCGGCCUGCUGUGCACCGUUCAGCUGGGUGGGGCUGCAAAUGUACCCUGCGUGCUUGUGCUCCAGCCGCACCAGCCCCGGCCCCCAGUGCUCACUGGGUCCCCACUGCAGCAAUGGAGCAGCGAGGAGACCAGUCUGGAGCCAUCUAGACCCACAGUUUCUGCUGGUGGCCCAGCCCUGGCUGGGAUUCCUCACUCCCACGCCUCAAGCCUGAGAAUCCUUCCAGAAACACAAGGCUGGACCUAUACCUGCCAGGUGGCCGUGGCCUCGGUGUGGGAGCAACAUGGGGAGACCUGGGUCCCUGAGUGGCCAUGACCAUCAACCUGGAGCAAUCAGCUCAGGACUGUUAUGUGGGAGCAACAAUCAUCCAGCUCCUUCAAGCUGCAGCAUCCAGGGGUCUCUUCAUUCCAUUAUGGAUAUAGCCUAAGAAAUGGUGACAGUAAAGGGUCUCAUACAACACGUCCC